rnacentral:lncRNA from 1 species
UGCUUUUAGCUUUUCCAGGAGUUUAGGCCGAAAACUGUAGUGUUGUGUGGGAAACCCAAGUCUCCCUCACAUCAGAAAAUAUUAAUGGACUCUCCUUUAAGAUGUAUCUAGGGGCUGGUGAGAUGGCUCAGUGGUUAAGAGUGCCGACUGCUCUUCCAAAGGUCCCGAGUUCAAAUCCCAGCAACCAUAUGGUGGCUCACAACCAUCUGUAACGAAAUCUGAUGCCCUCUUCUGGAGUGUCUGAAGACAGCUACAGUGUACUUACAUAUAAGAAAUAAAUGAAUCUUUAAAAAAAAAAGAUGUAUCUAGACUCCAACCAUUUCUUACCUUCACCAUCACCCCUCAUGUUGGGGUGUCUGCCGGUGCUCCUUAGCCUUCCUCAUUCUUAUCCUCAACUUCUAAAUCCAGAUUUAAAAAUUACAGACAAAAACUUUAUGUAAAACAGCAUUACCAUUAGGCCAGUUUUCUAGCCUCCAAAUAUUAAACAUGGUUUGUAUUCUGGGCUGCUCCCUGGAAUCCUGAGCCUGCCUGUCCUUGUUCAGAAGUGAUAACAACUACCAGCUCUCAGGUUUGGGCUUAAUUUUCUAAUAUGGUCUUAAUGACCAAAAAACCCCUAGAAAUGAGGUAAUGGCAAAACCAGGCUGAGGUUUCUUUGAGGUUAUUAAUUUUUAUUUCCUGCUGGCUAAAUUAGGCCUGUGGUUCUCCCAAGCAGCACAGAGCAGUGAUUUCAGCAGAACCCUGCCAGAGUGGGUUCAAGGGAUUCAUCCAAGCCUGGCACAAGAGAGCCGUUGGGUGAAAACUCAAGGAGCUGCUACAAAGUCAACUGAAGAAAUGAGUCUCGACUAAGCUUCAUUAAACUGCAAGUGGUCCUUGCUGCUCUCCCUCCCCUGUGGCCCUCACUGCAGGCUGAACUGCUUUGCACUGCAAACUCCGGUCUGAGGAGUGGAGGUAAUGUUGAUGGUGGCUAAUGAUUACUAGCCGUUUGGUUAAUAUCGGUGAUUGCUACUCACUUGGUGGCAGACACUGUUCUGAAUAUUUUUAUAGUCAGUCAUUCACCUGUUCUUUCUCUCAUAAAAAUGUACAUACACAUCUCUCACACACACACACACACACACACACACACACACACACACACACACACACGUACAUAUACAGCAUAUACAUACACAUACAUAUACUACAUAUACAACACAUAUAAAACAUGCAGCAUAUA